rnacentral:siRNA from 1 species
UCGCUCCUACCGAUUGAAUGA